CUCAUUCAUUACACUUCCAAAUUACAUCAAUUGAUUUCACCAUUGAGCAAUGUGUGGAAUAUUGACACAUCAACUACAAUCACAUAAUGAGAUAUAAAGAACAUUUUAUCCAUUUCCAGAAAUCUAAUUCAAACGAAUGCUAAACUGCAGCUCAUUUAUUUCAAAACAUGAAGUUCUUAAGCGAAUAAGCUCACUAGAUAAUGGAAGUGAUUGCCAUAGUUAUGAAUUAUCCAAAACUUAAACGAGCUGACCAGAAGUCCUACAUUUAACCACAGGCCAACACAGUCUAAACGAAGAGCAAAGUUGAGGCUAGUCUGUUCCUUCACUUAGCCUGGGGGUGAGAUGCAAUGAAAGCAACAGCUAGAUCAAUGGAGCUAAUCUUAUCAGCUUCAUUGUCAGGAAUCUCAAACGCAAACUCUUCUUCAAGGGCCAUAACAAUUUCCACAGUAUCUAAACUAUCUAAACCAAGAUCAUUCUGGAAGUGGGCAUUUGGAGUAACCUUUGAUGGGUCGAGUUUUGGGAAGUUCUUGACACAACAAAUGACACGAUCUGUCACUUCAGACUUAUCAAGAAAUGACCCCCUAACUUCCUCUGAGAAGUGACGUUUGAACAAUUGGGCAAAUGGGGUUCCAAUAAAUCUAUGAUUUUGCAAUUGUAAUUGUUGUGGAAGACGAGAUUCAACUCUAAGGUACUUCAACAAUGCGUUCUUGGCCGCCAUUGAAA
rnacentral:misc_RNA from 1 species